rnacentral:tRNA from 1 species
GCCCUUGUAGUAUAAUCAAUACACUGGCCUUGUAAACCAGAAAUGAGCAUUCCUCCCAGGGCAAU